CUGAGUAUAAAAACUCUAAAACCCUUUGUGAACCUUACCGCCGUUGCCUCGGCGUGCGCUGCGGCUACCCUGUAGCUACCCUGUAGGUGCCUACCCUGUAGGUGCCUACUCGGCAGCUGCCCUGUAGCCGGACCACGGCCCGCCGGAGGACUGCUAAACUCUUGUUUUUUUACCACUGUAUCUCUGAAUUCUUAACUGAAAUACGUUA
rnacentral:misc_RNA from 1 species